rnacentral:pre_miRNA from 1 species
GUCUUUCCUCCCGUUGCCUCUACGUGCUGCAUCAGGUGCUUGUGACUACGCGUUCGAAAGUCAGGUACCUGAAGUAGCGCGCGGAAGGCUUCGGGGCUGGU